CCUACGGGGGGCAGCAGUGGGGAAUAUUGGACAAUGGGGGCAACCCUGAUCCAGCCAUGCCGCGUGUGUGAAGAAGGCCCUCGGGUUGUAAGGCACUUUCAGUGAGGAAGAACGCCUGGUGGUUAAUACCCAUCAGGAAAGACAUCACUCACAGAAGAAGCACCGGCUAACUCCGUGCCAGCAGCCGCGGUAAUACGGAGGGUGCGAGCGUUAAUCGGAAUUACUGGGCGUAAAGCGCGCGUAGGUGGCUUGAUAAGCCGGUUGUGAAAGCCCCGGGCUCAACCUGGGAACGGCAUCCGGAACUGUCAAGCUAGAGUGCAGGAGAGGAAGGUAGAAUUCCCGGUGUAGCGGUGAAAUGCGUAGAGAUCGGGAGGGAUACCAGUGGCGAAGGCGGCCUUCUGGACUGACACUGACACUGAGGUGCGAAAGCGUGGGUAGCAAACAGGAUUAGAUACCCUAGUAGUC
rnacentral:rRNA from 1 species